GAAGAGGGCGCGUGUAUUUGAAUGUAACCAUUCAAUGGGGGCCGGGAUGUUUGAAUAUCCGAAUGUGUGGCAAGGGGCUCUCAUAAAGAGAGAUCCGCUCCUGCCGUGUCGUCAAUCGAUCAUUGCGUAAUUGAUCGAUUUACGGACCACGCGCAUUCCCACCUGCUCCCGUUUUUUGGCAACCUAUGUUCGUUUCCGAUUCCUCUCCUUCUUCUUCUCCGAAUCGCCACGCGAGUACCACGUGCGAAUUCUAAGAAGCGAUUACCGUAACGCGAGUUUGUGCGUACCAAAAUUAUUCUCAACCGAAUCAGUUAAUCAGCCAAGACUAUAAUUCAGUGAUUUUUGUUAUUUUGUUUAUUAAUUAGUUUCGUAUAAAUUUAAGUUUAAGUUACAUUUACGAACAUUAAAUUCCAUUUGUUACAACGAACAUUCAGUGCUACGAUUAUUUCGUUUACGCCAACUGCCCUUCCCGACAGAUCUUCUUCAGACAAGAAGAACCAAUUUAAAUUUUACAUUUUUUAAUCCGAACUCCAAACAGUAUGCAUGGAAAGUUAAGGAGUAACUACAUAUAGUUCAAUAGUAGAUAAUGACAUUUUUAUAAUAUGCAGCUGUACAGAAAACGGGCCGUGUGUAUAUUUAGAAAAUGAGAAAAAGGAAGAAGCAAUAGAGGGCGAUAUUUCAUCGACAUCUAUUAACAGACCCAGUUAUAUUUGCACGAACGCAUUACACAUAAAUGUAGAUAAUAUGACAGAUAGUAUGUUUCACCUUCAUUCAUAUUUUCACUGAUGUUCAAGUUUUUAAAUAUUAGAUUAUUAAUUAAAAUCGUUUUUCAGAUAGGGACAUUUGUAUAAGUGAUAGUCAAAUUACUGUACAGAAUUUAAUAGAAGAUAAAUUUUUUACUUACUCAUAUCUUUACUUUUGGUUUUCAUUCAACAGUUUUUCAGCAUUUAAUUUGUUACAUUUGAUAAAUACAGUGUAAAUGAUGUAUGUGUAUAAAAUACAAUGGGGUGUUUACAAAAGACUAUAAUUACAAAAGAUUACAAUAUAUGUAUUAUAUUGUAUUGUGUUUACAAAAGAUUAUAAUAUAUAUAUAUAUAUAUAUAUAUAUAUAAAUAAUACAUAUAAAUAUUUAUAUUUACAAUUUAUAAUAAUUAUAUUAUAAUUUAUAAU